AUUUUAUACCUCAACUUUACAUGC
rnacentral:siRNA from 1 species